rnacentral:rRNA from 1 species
AGCCGAGCGAAGCGCUUUGGAAAGAUUCUUCGGAUGACUUCCUUUGUGACUGAGCGGCGGACGGGUGAGUAACGCGUGGGUAACCUGCCUCAUACAGGGGGAUAACAGUUAGAAAUGACUGCUAAUACCGCAUAAGACCACGGUACCGCAUGGUACAGUGGUAAAAACUCCGGUGGUAUGAGAUGGACCCGCGUCUGAUUAGGUAGUUGGUGGGGUAACGGCCUACCAAGCCGACGAUCAGUAGCCGACCUGAGAGGGUGACCGGCCACAUUGGGACUGAGACACGGCCCAGACUCCUACGGGAGGCAGCAGUGGGGAAUAUUGCACAAUGGAGGAAACUCUGAUGCAGCGACGCCGCGUGAAGGAUGAAGUAUUUCGGUAUGUAAACUUCUAUCAGCAGGGAAGAAAAUGACGGUACCUGACUAAGAAGCCCCGGCUAACUACGUGCCAGCAGCCGCGGUAAUACGUAGGGGGCAAGCGUUAUCCGGAUUUACUGGGUGCAAAGGGAGCGUAGACGGCACGGCAAGCCAGAUGUGAAAGCCCGGGGCUCAACCCCGGGACUGCAUUUGGAACUGCUGAGCUAGAGUGUCGGAGAGGCAAGUGGAAUUCCUAGUGUAGCGGUGAAAUGCGUAGAUAUUAGGAGGAACACCAGUGGCGAAGGCGGCUUGCUGGACGAUGACUGACGUUGAGGCUCGAAAGCGUGGGGAGCAAGCAGGAUUAGAUACCC